AGAGCUUUAGUUUAGGUAAAAUGUCUGUGUUGCAAGCAGAAGAUGUGAUUGUUCGCAAGUUCUC
rnacentral:tRNA from 1 species